UCCUGGCUCAGAUUGAACGCUGGCGGCAUGCCUUACACAUGCAAGUCGAACGGCAGCACGGGUGCUUGCACCUGGUGGCGAGUGGCGAACGGGUGAGUAAUAUAUCGGAACGUACCUUGUAGUGGGGGAUAGCUCGGCGAAAGCCGGAUUAAUACCGCAUACGCUCUGAGGAGGAAAGCGGGGGACCUUCGGGCCUCGCGCUACAAGAGCGGCCGAUAUCAGAUUAGCUAGUUGGUGGGGUAAAAGCUUACCAAGGCGACGAUCUGUAGCUGGUCUGAGAGGACGACCAGCCACACUGGGACUGAGACACGGCCCAGACUCCUACGGGAGGCAGCAGUGGGGAAUUUUGGACAAUGGGCGAAAGCCUGAUCCAGCAAUGCCGCGUGUGUGAAGAAGGCCUUCGGGUUGUAAAGCACUUUUGUCCGGAAAGAAAUCCUCUGGGUUAAUACCUCGGGGGGAUGA
rnacentral:rRNA from 1 species